rnacentral:lncRNA from 1 species
UACUUCAUAUGGUGUUACUGCUGUUUUGUAGUUUCAUAAUGGUGUUACUGCUGUUUUGUAGUUUCAUAAAUGUGUUACUGCUGUUUGUAAUGGUGUAAUGGUUCAUAAUGGUGUUACAGCUGUUUUGCUGUUUCAAUGGUUGUUACUGAGUUUUGUUACUUCAUAAUGUGUGUUUACUGCGUUUUGUAGUCAUUAAUGUGUUACUGUUCCUGUUUUGUAGUUUCAUAAUGUGUGUUACUGCUGUUUUGUAGUUUCAUAAUGGUGUUACUGCUGUUUUGUUGUUUCAUAAUUUGUUACUUGUGUUUGUAGUUUCAUAAGUGUUACUGUGUUGUUACUAAUAAUGGUGUUACUGUGUUUUGUAGUUUCAUAAUGGUGUUACUGCUGUUUUGUAGUUUCAUAAAUGGUGUUACUGCUGUUUUGUAGUUUCAUAAUGGUGUUACUGCUGUUUUGUCACUUCAUAAUGGUGUUACUGCUGUUUUGUCACUUCAUAAUGUGUGUACUGCUUUUUUGUUGUUUCAUAAUGUGUUACUGCUGUUUUGU